rnacentral:misc_RNA from 1 species
GAAAAGAAAAUGAAAUUGGUUGCCUUCCAGAACCGAAAAAAAGGGCAAAAAAGAAGAGAGCUUGGAAUCCCAAAACCCCUUUUACUUUUGCAGAUUCUCUGAAUGCUCGACCAAAAUCAGUGAAAAAGAGGGAGGGAAACUCUAAGCAAAUUAAAAUUUGAUCGAUCGACGAUCAUCAUCCUAUCAUGUCGUUUUCCUUCUUCAAGCCGUCUCGGCCUAAAACGCCGCAAGAGGUGGUCAGAGCAGUGAAAGAUAGCCUCAUGGCUCUCGAUACCAAAACUGUUGUUGACGUUAAAGCUCUCGAGAAGGCGAUGGAAGAAGUUGAGAAAAAUCUUGUGGCAGUGAGAUGUAUGCUCUGUGGAGAUGGAGAGGUCGAACCAAAUAUAGAUCAAGUAUCACAGCUGGUGCUUGAAGUUUGUAAAGAGGACGUUCUUGCUCUUGUGAUUCACAAACUCCCUAACUUGGGAUGGGAAGCGAGAAAGGAUUUAGUCCAUUGUUGGUCCGUGUUGUUGAAGCAAAAGGUUGAUUCCAAAUAUUGCUCUGUAGAAUAUAUAGAGAACCAUUUUGAAUUAUUAGACUUUCUUGUCGUGUGUUAUGAUAACAAGGAAAUUGCCUUGAACUGUGGACUUAUGUUAAGGGAGUGCAUCAAAUUUCCAACCCUUGCAAAUGUUUUUUCAGAUACAUAUUAGAGUCUGCAAGCUUUGAAUUGUUCUUCAAAUUUGUGGAGUUGCCAAAUUUUGAUGUUGCUUCUGAUGCUUUCUCUACUUUCAAGGUCAGAGUUAUGAGUUUGUAAGUUCUAGUUUCUUUAUGUUAUACCUGUUAAAUUUUAAGCCUCUAGUUAUGCAUACUUUAAAUUUUUGUAAGUAAAUGCUUCUCAGGAUUUGCUUACUAAACAUGGCACUGUGGUUGCUGAAUAUCUCACUGCACACUAUGACGAGUUCUUUGAUCUGUAUGAAAAACUAUUGACAUCUCCUAAUUAUGUGACAAGAAGGCAAUCAUUGAAGGUUAGUUUCUACCAAAAGUUCUUAAAUUCUACGCUGCUGCUGUUUUUAUCCGUAAGUUAACAGGACUACGUAGUGGAUUUAGCUUCUCUCGGAAUUCCCUUUGGAGGCUCCAAAUUCUCAUAUAAUGAAGCGCUACGUUUUAGAAGUUCGAUACUUAAAAGUCAUGAUGACAUUGCUGAAGGCAUGGCAAUUUUCAUUUUCAUUCUAUUUCUUACAUCUUAAUUUUGGAUUUUUUUUGUUUGAUGAAUUGGAUAUGUUGUACAUGGAUUAGAUGGGUGUUUUGAAGCAAUUGUACCAUAUAGCUGAUAGCUAUUAAAGUUAGAAUACUGACUAAGCUCAAAAGAGCCCAAAAAGACAUGAAAUUAGAGAGCUAAAAGCCUUGAACAAGAAGGGGCCUCUCCGAUUCUAAUGUUUUGUUUUGAUUACUGAGAGUGGAACCCCCUUAAUAUCAUGUGAAAAUACAUGAGGCCGCAAUUGGAAUUACAUAAUUUUUAGUAACAGGAUAACUCUCUGUAUCUUUUGCUCUCCCAUAAUCAGGUUUGUAUGUCUUUUAGCUCUGUUCUACAAACAGUAGUAGUUCUAAUGUCUAUUUGAUCCCUUAGUAUAAAGAAACUAAACAAUCUCAUCAGAAUUGGCACCUGGGCGUUUCUAUCUGCUGGCUUUCCAGUUUGUUCUAGUGGAAAAGUUUACUCCCCAUUUGUGUUCUAUGCGUCACACAAGAAUUCUUGAAUGCUUUUUUCAUGGGAAGUCAUUACAAUUUUGAUUCUGAACUAGCUUGAGAGCUGUUAAAUGAUUUGAGUAUGAUGCUAUACCUAUUCUCAGGACACAAAAUUAUGGAGGGUUUCACUGCUUCUCGUGGGAUGGAUUAAUGUGUGCAGUGAAGUAUUUCUAUACAUAGGAAAGUACUCGCUGUCUGAAUUUUUAAAUAUCCAAUAUGCAGUUCAGCCAUCAGAGCUUCAUGCUUUUUACCUGUCUGUCUGAUAAGAUGCUAAGAUUGUCUCACUUUGCCUUCUUGGUGUGUUACAGACUUGAAGUGGUAUUUGAUACUUCUGUGAGCUCAUGGAUAUCUUGAGCUAUAAUAGAUUUUUUUUUUCCUUUUGAAUAUAUAUUUGAAUCAUUUAUAAUUACUAAUUUGUAGUGUGACCAUUUUAUCUACUUUGUUUCUGGCUGUGAGCAGGACUCGAGCAAAAAUAUUCAGAUCUCAGCUUUCCACAUUUUCAAGGUUCUGCAAUCUCAUUCUGCGAUCUUAUCUUUUUCUGUCAUUUUUGAGGGAUCAAGCAAAAAUAGUCUGAUGUUGAGCUAUCCCAUUCCAAUGACAUUGCUACUUCCCCAUAAUCAUGUUUUAAAAUUUAAUCCCAAGACCUUCCAUGUUGGUGCAUACCAUUGGAACUAGAGCCUUUCUUUUAUAGAGCAAGUAUAUUAUUGGCUAAUAGUUUAGUUUCCCCUGAAGUCCAGCUUGGCUACACUGUGGAGGGAGGCCAUCAAUUUUACUUGCAGUCUAGCAGAUGAAAAUAAGCAUGUGCUUUAGCAUGUGGAAUUUUUUCUUCCUUAUUUAGUUGGUAAUUUUACUUGCAGUCUAGCAGAUGAAAAUAAGCAUGUGCUUUAGCAUGUGGAAUUUUUUCUUCCUUAUUUAGUUGGUAAUUUUACUUGCAGUCUAGCAGAUGAAAAUAAGCAUGUACUACUCUUCCUUAUAUGGUAGUGAGUGUUGGGUAAUGAAGCAGCUGUAUGUGUCUAAGAUGAGAGUUGCCAUACUAGAAAAAAAAGUAGUGUGACCACUUCCUUAUACG